UACGAAGGGGGCUAGCGUUGCUCGGAAUUACUGGGCGUAAAGGGCGCGUAGGCGGCACUGUUAGUCAGGCGUGAAAUUCCUGGGCUCAACCUGGGGACUGCGCUUGAUACGGCAGAGCUUGAGGAUGGAAGAGGGUCGCGGAAUUCCCAGUGUAGAGGUGAAAUUCGUAGAUAUUGGGAAGAACACCGGUGGCGAAGGCGGCGACCUGGUCCGAUACUGACGCUGAGGCGCGAAAGCGUGGGGAUCAAACAGG
rnacentral:rRNA from 1 species